CACAUGCAAGUCGAACGCCCCGCAAGGGGAGUGGCAGACGGGUGAGUAACGCGUGGGAACAUACCCUUUCCUGCGGAAUAGCUCCGGGAAACUGGAAUUAAUACCGCAUACGCCCUACGGGGGAAAGAUUUAUCGGGGAAGGAUUGGCCCGCGUUGGAUUAGCUAGUUGGUGGGGUAAAGGCCUACCAAGGCGACGAUCCAUAGCUGGUCUGAGAGGAUGAUCAGCCACAUUGGGACUGAGACACGGCCCAAACUCCUACGGGAGGCAGCAGUGGGGAAUAUUGGACAAUGGGCGCAAGCCUGAUCCAGCCAUGCCGCGUGAGUGAUGAAGGCCUUAGGGUUGUAAAGCUCUUUCACCGGAGAAGAUAAUGACGGUAUCCGGAGAAGAAGCCCCGGCUAACUUCGUGCCAGCAGCCGCGGUAAUACGAAGGGGGCUAGCGUUGUUCGGAAUUACUGGGCGUAAAGCGCACGUAGGCGGAUAUUUAAGUCAGGGGUGAAAUCCCAUAGCUCAACUCUGGAACUGCCUUUG
rnacentral:rRNA from 1 species